GAUGAACGCUAGCGAUAGGCUUAACACAUGCAAGUCGAGGGGCAGCAUGGUCUUAGCUUGCUCAGACUGAUGGCGACCGGCGCACGGGUGCGUAACGCGUAUGCAACUUGCCUCACAGAGGGGGAUAACCCGUCGAAAGACGGACUAAUACCGCGUACACUCUAUUUUGGGCAUCCAAGGUAGAGGAAAUGAAAUUCGCUGUGAGAUAGGCAUGCGUCCCAUUAGCUAGUUGGUGAGGUAACGGCUCACCAAGGCGACGAUGGGUAGGGGAACUGAGAGGUUGAACCCCCACACUGGUACUGAGCCACGGACCAGACUCCUACGGGAGGCAGCAGUGAGGAAUAUUGGUCAAUGGGCGAGGGCCUGAACCAGCCAAGUCGCGUGAAGGAUGACUGUCUUAUGGAUUGUAAACUUCUUUUGUAGGGGAAUAAAGAGGGGCACGUGUGCCCCAGUGAAUGUACCCUACGAAUAAGCAUCGGCUAACUCCGUG
rnacentral:rRNA from 1 species